UGAGGAAUAUUGGUCAAUGGGCGCGAGCCUGAACCAACCAAGUCGCGUGAGGGAUGACGGCCUACGGGUUGUAAACCUCUUUUGUCGGGGAGCAAAUUCCGUUACGUGUAACGGAGUCGAGAGUACCCGAAGAAAAAGCAUCGGCUAACUCCGUGCCAGCAGCCGCGGUAAUACGGAGGAUGCGAGCGUUAUCCGGAUUUAUUGGGUUUAAAGGGUGCGUAGGCGGACUGUCAAGUCAGCGGUAAAAUACGGGGGCUCAACCUCCGCCCGCCGUUGAAACUGACGGUCUUGAGUGGGCGAGAAGUAUGCGGAAUGCGUGGUGUAGCGGUGAAAUGCAUAGAUAUCACGCAGAACUCCGAUUGCGAGGCAGCAUACCGGCGCCCAACUGACGCUGAAGCACGAAAGUGUGGGUAUCGAACAGGAUUAGAUACC
rnacentral:rRNA from 1 species